UGUGGAUGCAUUAAAUAAUUGGGUAUUUUACUACUUUCGAAUUUGAUAAAUUUUAUUACUUUAUUAUAAACUAGGAUAAAAAUAAUGACGUACGCUGAAAAAAAUAUUAAAAUCCAACAAAAAUUUACAAAGUUACAGGCAUUUUAAUUUUGGAGUGGGAGGG